rnacentral:rRNA from 1 species
AACCCCGGCGAGGGGAGUGAAAAAGAACCUGAAACCGUGUACGUACAAGCAGUGGGAGCACGCUUCGGCGUGUGACUGCGUACCUUUUGUAUAAUGGGUCAGCGACUUAUAUUCUGUAGCAAGGUUAACCGAAUAGGGGAGCCGAAGGGAAACCGAGUCUUAACUGGGCGUUAAGUUGCAGGGUAUAGACCCGAAACCCGGUGAUCUAGCCAUGGGCAGGUUGAAGGUUGGGUAACACUAACUGGAGGACCGAACCGACUAAUGUUGAAAAAUUAGCGGAUGACUUGUGGCUGGGGGUGAAAGGCCAAUCAAACCGGGAGAUAGCUGGUUCUCCCCGAAAGCUAUUUAGGUAGCGCCUCGUGAAUUCAUCUCCGGGGGUAGAGCACUGUUUCGGCAAGGGGGUCAUCCCGACUUACCAACCCGAUGCAAACUGCGAAUACCGGAGAAUGUUAUCACGGGAGACACACGGCGGGUGCUAACGUCCGUCGUGAAGAGGGAAACAACCCAGACCGCCAGCUAAGGUCCCAAAGUCAUGGUUAAGUGGGAAACGAUGUGGGAAGGCCCAGACAGCCAGGAUGUUGGCUUAGAAGCAGCCAUCAUUUAAAGAAAGCGUAAUAGCUCACUGGUCGAGUCGGCCUGCGCGGAAGAUGUAACGGGGCUAAACCAUG